CCCUUAGAUGUUCUGGGCCGCACGCGCGCUACACUGACGGAUUCAACGAGCUUACAACCUUGGCCGAAAGGUCUGGGUAAUCUCCAAAAUCCGUCGUGAUGGGGAUAGAUUAUUGCAAUUAUUAAUCUUCAACGAGGAAUGCCUAGUAAGCGCAAGUCAUCAGCUCGCGUUGAUUACGUCCCUGCCCUUUGUACACACCGCCCGUCGCUCCUACCGAUUGAAUGGUCCGGUGAAGCGUUUGGACUAUGGUUUUCUGAUGGUCCGCCGUUGGAUUACCGUGGGAAGUUCGUUAAACCUUAUCAUUUAGAGGAAGGAGAAGUCGUAACA
rnacentral:rRNA from 1 species